CCCCGGCCCCAGCGCUGCCUGCCUGGCCCAGCAGACGCCAGGCAGACUCGUCCGUGUGCUCCGCACUUCAACUCUCCUUUUGAAAGUUUAAACAAACAGCGGUGCGGGGCCUCUAUUCUGAAUUCUGAAAGGGAUUGCCGUUCUUCAGGGGGUGAGAACGUACUCCACAGAGGAAGAGAAAGUAAAGAUCCUAUUCUCAGAAGUACCUGGACAUCUCGUAACAGUAGCACAAGAUUGUGGAGUGGACACACAAGAAGAGCAGACAGCAGUGAAAGACAUCACAAAGGGAAAGUUUCUUUCCCUCCCUCUGAGGAGCGACCACAGGCGCACAAACAAACACCUCAGAAGGAGGCUACACGCGCCAAGGUGUCACGGAACCUGCCCCCUGUGCAUAAUUCAACACCUUUCCACUGCCUGUCAGGACGAGUGAGAAUAGAGAGGGGGAGCAGAGAGUGAGCGAGAGAGAUGGAGAGGGAGAGAGGGGGGUGGAGGGAGAGAGAGGGGGGUGGAGGGAGAGAGAGGGUGAACAAAAACUAGCCGUCUGAGUUAGCGUUAGCGGCCAGCUCCGGUCCUGUACACACACCUCCUCUUCUCCUCCUCCUCUUGCCCACUCCAGGGCUGUUUUGGCCUCAAGUACACUUGGAACUCCAAAAGCUCCCAAAACAGGGUGAAAGGCAGGAGGGGGGUAAGGGGGGCUUUUAUCUGCCCAUGGUGCUAUUCAAGUCUGCUGACUUCAUCUGAAGAGGUGCCCCACACCUCACAAUAGACUGGGGACUGGCAGUGAUAUGCUCUCUCAUUUUUUUUGGAGAGAGGGGCGAAGUCAUUUGCAUUGAGCCAAAGAUAAAAGCCCAUCAGCCGGUCUAGGACGCUGUAGAGGCCUGUUUUUUCAGGCCAUUCAUUGUAAUGACGCUACUUGAAAUAUAUAUAAAAAACAUCCCACACACAGCCCACUACGGCUCCAGUGCAGAAAAAGGUAAAAUGUAAAGGACAAAUGGCUAAACCUGAUGAGUGU